rnacentral:rRNA from 1 species
CGGGAGGCAGCAGUCGGGAAUCUUGCGCAAUGGGCGAAAGCCUGACGCAGCAACACCGUGUGGGCGACGAAGGCCUUCGGGUCGUAAAGCCCUGUUGUUGGGGACGAAGGGCGAAGGGUUAAUAGCCCCUAGUCUGACGGUACCCUUCGAGGAAGCCCCGGCUAACUACGUGCCAGCAGCCGCGGUAAUACGUAGGGGGCGAGCGUUGUCCGGAAUUAUUGGGCGUAAAGAGCGUGUAGGCGGUUCGGUAAGUCUGCCGUGAAAACCCGGGGCUCAACCCCGGGCGUGCGGUGGAUACUGCCGGGCUAGAGGAUGGUAGAGGCGAGUGGAAUUCCCGGUGUAGCGGUGAAAUGCGCAGAUAUCGGGAGGAACACCAGUAGCGAAGGCGGCUCGCUGGGCCAUUCCUGACGCUGAGACGCGAAAGCUAGGGGAGCGAACAGGAUUAGAUACCCUGGUAGUCCUAGCCGUAAACGAUGAAUACUAGGUGUGGGGGGAGUCGAAUCCUCCUGUGCCGCAGCCAACGCGUUAAGUGUUCCGCCUGGGGAGUACGGCCGCAAGGCUAAAACUCAAAUGAAUUGACGGA